CACUACCAGCGCCUGGGCUGGAGGACAGAGAAGCCUUUUCCGUUGCCGGUGCCGGCCUAGCGUCCUGGAAUUACUUCAAUCAACAGGAGCGAGAACCCGAGCAGCGCCAUGAGCAACACUACCGUCGUCCCCAGCACUGCAGGUCCGGGCCCCAGCGGCGGGCCCGGUGGCGGAGGUGGUGGCGGCGGAGGCGGCGGCACCGAGGUAAUCCAGGUGACUAAUGUCUCCCCGAGCGCUAGCUCUGAGCAGAUGCGGACUCUCUUCGGUUUCCUAGGCAAGAUCGACGAACUGCGCCUCUUCCCGCCGGAUGAUUCGCCUUUGCCAGUCUCAUCUCGUGUCUGCUUUGUUAAGUUCCAUGAUCCAGACUCAGCAAUUGUGGCACAGCAUCUGACAAACACUGUAUUCGUUGACAGAGCUUUGAUAGUCGUACCAUAUGCAGAAGGUUUGUGCUUUGUUUAACUACCUAUGUGGGCAUCCUAAGAUGACCAUCUACCUCAGUAGAUGUAGAGUGAGCAUUAGUAGCAUGUUAAAUCUAAGCUAUUAACAUUUUUAAACCCUUGUUAUACUGCAGUCCGUAAUUUUUGCUUGCAGAUUUUUUUUAAUUCUAAAAAUUA
rnacentral:sRNA from 1 species